UAUAUCACGGAAAGCAAACUGUUCGCCU
rnacentral:sRNA from 1 species